rnacentral:rRNA from 1 species
UACAGAGGUGCCAAGCGUUAGGCGGAAUCACUGGGCUUAAAGCGCGUGUAGGCGGGUCGUUAAGUGUCUUGUGAAAUCCCACGGCUCAACCGUGGAACUGCUGGGCAUACUGACGAUCUUGAGGCACUCAGGGGCUGUCGGAACAAAUGGUGGAGCGGUGAAAUGCGUAGAUAUCUGGAGGAACACCGGUGGCGAAGGCGGCAUUCUGGACCGGCAUUGACGCUGAGGCGCGAAAGCCAGGGGAGCAAACGGG